rnacentral:rRNA from 1 species
GACGAACGCUGGCGGCGUGCUUAACACAUGCAAGUCGAACGCUGAAGACCUGGCUUUUGUUGGGUUGGAUGAGUGGCGAACGGGUGAGUAACACGUGAGUAACCUGCCCUCUUCUUUGGGAUAACGCCCGGAAACGGGUGCUAAUACUGGAUAUUCACUGAUCUUCGCAUGGGGGUUGGUGGAAAGGUUUGUUCUGGUGGGGGAUGGGCUCGCGGCCUAUCAGCUUGUUGGUGGGGUGAUGGCCUACCAAGGCUUUGACGGGUAGCCGGCCUGAGAGGGUGACCGGUCACAUUGGGACUGAGAUACGGCCCAGACUCCUACGGGAGGCAGCAGUGGGGAAUAUUGCACACUGGGCGAAAGCCUGAUGCAGCGACGCCGCGUGAGGGAUGGAGGCCUUCGGGUUGUAAACCUCUUUCGCUCAUGGUCAAGCCGCAACUGUGGGUUGUGGUGAGGGUAGUGGGUAAAGAAGCGCCGGCUAACUACGUG